rnacentral:rRNA from 1 species
AGAACGAACGCUGGCGGCGUGCUUAACACAUGCAAGUCGAACGUGAUCCAGAGCUUGCUCUGGUGAAAGUGGCGCACGGGUGAGUAACGCGUGGAUAACCUGCCCUGGUAUCUGGGAUAACAUCUCGAAAGGGGUGCUAAUACCGGAUAAGCCCACGGACUCUUCGGAGACUGAGGGAAAAGGUGGCCUCUAUUUAUAAGCUACCGUAUCAUGAUGGGUCCGCGUACCAUUAGCUAGUUGGUGGGGUAAUGGCCUACCAAGGCGACGAUGGUUAGCUGGUCUGAGAGGAUGAUCAGCCACACUGGAACUGAGACACGGUCCAGACUCCUACGGGAGGCAGCAGUGGGGAAUUUUGCGCAAUGGGGGAAACCCUGACGCAGCAACGCCGCGUGAGUGAUGAAGGCUUUCGGGUCGUAAAGCUCUGUCAGAGGGGAAGAAAUGGGUCGUGCUAAUACCACGACUUCUUGACGGUACCCUCAAAGGAAGCACCGGCUAACUCCGUGCCAGCAGCCGCGGUAA